GACAGCAUAGUGCAGUGGUUUGUGUGUUGGACUGGUAUGCUGGAAGACCAGGAUUCAAAUCCCUGCUCUGUCU